rnacentral:lncRNA from 1 species
UCCAACGAUUCCAGCGAGAACUCCGGCGAGGGUUUCUACCUCAGGUACGUUCCUUCUGAACUCUUCUCCUUCUGAUUCUGUCUGGUUCUACCCUCCAUUUCCUUCUGAAUCCUCUUCUUCUUCUCUCUGCUUCUUUGGGCUGUUGCAGGCGGAUUAGCUCAAGUUCACUCAAGCUUUGAUGAAAAUCUUGGGGAACUUUUGAAAAGAGCUUUGUAUGAGGUUUGUGGGGGGUUUCUUCAGAGCUUCUGCUAGUGAUUUUUAGCGUGAUUUGAGAGGUGCAUUUAUAGGAGAAUUGGGAGAGUGAUGUGGUGACACUCGUGUGAAGUUUUUAGAGGGAAUCCUUGCAAGUGUGCGAGUGAAAUGAGCAAGGUGUGAGUUGAAAGUGAGUAAACUCGUGACUGAAUGUAAGGAAAAAGUGAUUCUUGAUCGGUGAAGUAUGUAUGGAAUGGCAAAUGGCGCAUGGUGUGGUGAUAACUACAGCGUGGAUGAUGGGGAUGGCAUACCGUCACGCAUUUUACAAGCUUUUCAAGUUGUAUGGAAUACGGAUGUAAUUUCACUUUUUUCAUGUAAUAGGUUCAAGUUGAUUCCAUGUGUAUUUGCAAUGUAUGCAUGGUGUAAAGAUUGAUGUAUUUUGUGACUCAACAGGAUUUAAUUAACUAAAAUUAUUUGUUUCUUUCAUUUUAUUCCAAUGGUGAUGUACAUGAUGAUGGAUGACUGUAUGGAACAUGUGAACUGUAGCACAGCUAUUUCAAAUUAGUAAACUGAAUUUGAUUUAUUUUUUAA